rnacentral:piRNA from 1 species
UCCCUUAGUCUGUUUUAGGAGACCAAAGU